AGAGUUUGAUCAUGGCUCAGGAUGAACGCUAGCGGCAGGCCUAAUACAUGCAAGCUGAACGGUAAAUAUUAUAGCAAUAUAGUAUGAGAGUGGCGUAAGGGUGCGUAACACGUAUGCAAUCUGCCCUGUACAGGAGGAUAGCUCGGGGAAACCCGGAUUAAUACUCCGUAAGAUUGAGAGGAGGCAUCUUUUUUCAAUUAAAGUCGCAAGAUGGUACAGGAUGAGCAUGCGUCUGAUUAGCUAGUUGGUAGUGUAACGGACUACCAAGGCGAUGAUCAGUAGGGGAACUGAGAGGUUGAUCCCCCACACUGGCACUGAGAUACGGGCCAGACUCCUACGGGAGGCAGCAGUAGGGAAUAUUGGUCAAUGGAUGCAAGUCUGAACCAGCCAUGCCGCGUGCAGGAAGAAGGCCUUCUGGGUUGUAAACUGCUUUUGCCGGGGGAUAAAAUUCCCAUGCGUGGGAAAUUGAAGGUACCCGGUGAAUAAGCCACGGCUAACUACGUGCCAGCCGCCGCGGUAAUAC
rnacentral:rRNA from 1 species